rnacentral:rRNA from 1 species
AUUGAACGCUGGCGGUAUGCUUAACACAUGCAAGUCGAACGGUAACAGGCCUUCGGGCGCUGACGAGUGGCGGACGGGUGAGUAACGCGUAGGAAUCUGCCUCAUAGUGGGGGACAACGUGGGGAAACUCACGCUAAUACCGCAUACGCCCUACGGAGGAAAGCGGGGGAUCUUCGGACCUCGCGCUAUGAGAUGAGCCUGCGUUAGAUUAGCUAGUUGGUAGGGUAAAGGCCUACCAAGGCGACGAUCUAUAGCUGGUCUGAGAGGACGAUCAGCCACACUGGGACUGAGACACGGCCCAGACUCCUACGGGAGGCAGCAGUGGGGAAUAUUGGACAAUGGGCGCAAGCCUGAUCCAGCAAUACCGCGUGUGUGAAGAAGGCCCUAGGGUUGUAAAGCAACUUUCAAUUGGGAGGAAACCUAGCCGGUCAACACCCGGCAGCUUGACAUUACCUUUAGAAGAAGCAACCGGCUAACUCCCGUGCCAGCAGCCGCGGUAAU